rnacentral:rRNA from 1 species
AGCGAACGCUGGCGGCAGGCUUAACACAUGCAAGUCGAGCGGGCACUUCGGUGUCAGCGGCAGACGGGUGAGUAACACGUGGGAACGUACCCUUCGGUUCGGAAUAACGCUGGGAAACUAGCGCUAAUACCGGAUACGCCCUUUUGGGGAAAGGUUUACUGCCGAAGGAUCGGCCCGCGUCUGAUUAGCUAGUUGGUGGGGUAAUGGCCUACCAAGGCGACGAUCAGUAGCUGGUCUGAGAGGAUGAUCAGCCACACUGGGACUGAGACACGGCCCAGACUCCUACGGGAGGCAGCAGUGGGGAAUAUUGGACAAUGGGCGCAAGCCUGAUCCAGCCAUGCCGCGUGAAUGAUGAAGGCCUUAGGGUUGUAAAGCUCUUUUGUCCGGGACGAUAAUGACGGUACCGGAAGAAUAAGCCCCGGCUAACUUCGUG